AUGCUUGGUUUUUGUGUCAUCUUAUCACGCAACAAAGAGAGAGAGACACACAGUAGAGAGAGAUGCAGAAGAGAAAAAAAACUAAAUCAGAGUCGCCGCUUCUCCGACAAUUGGCCGAGCUCCGGAGAGUGGUUGGCCUCAAUUAACUGAACCAAGAGUAAGGAAUCUCAUCGUGGUGGUUAUGUUUGCAGACGUGGCGGCUAGGGGUCCGGUGACCCUAGAUGGUGCGGUGGCUUACACACGAUGGCAAGUGGAUAUAGGCGUGGCUGUUGAUUAACUUCUCCAAUUUUCAGGCUUUCAACCCUCCAACAAGUUGAUGAUUGUGAUUUGUACCCUAAAUUUUUGGGGUGAUGCGGUGGUUUGAAGCUGAGGUGACCUUGUGGGACUUUUUAGCAAUACCAAGGGCAGCAUCUCGCAACUCAUUGCCACAUUAUCGACAUAGUAACGUGAAUUUGGCAGCUGGAGCGUAACUGGACAUACAAAAACAGCAACGGGUUGCACGUGUGAAAGGAGUGUAACAUAAACAAAGAGAGAGGCAGAUCUAUUUCAAAAGAAAAGAAAGAAGAAUACAGACAUGAGAGACAGAUAGAGAGAGAGAGAGUGACGAAGGUGAGAGAAAGCGGGCAAGCCACAGGAAACUGGCCGGGUUCGUGGCAAGUCUCAACAUACUAAACCGAGACUAAGGAAUCCGAUGGUGGUGACGGGCCGUUCAACGGAACAGCAGUGGUGAUGUUCUCAGCGUAGAUGGUGUACUAAGGGUGGUCAGAAUACCACUGUCACCUUUUAUAAUCUCCCCACCUAAAAUGAAACCCACAGAUAUCAACCGAAAACAGCAAAACCCAUCUAUCUUGAAUACUAUUUUUUCGUGAAUCGAAGGUAUGGUUAUAUGAUUGCAGGGCUUCAGUUUAGUCCAAGCAAUUUUCAACCUUAAGAUUGGCCAUUUCCGUCACUAGCGGCUCUGAAUUUACCAUGCAAACGAUCUGCAGCGAGGAAGGCUUUGAAUGCCGAACCUAAGACGAAUGAUUCCUUCUGCUGCCAUUUUGUUUGUUUCUGGUUUUGUUGUUACUUUGUGUUGGAAUCGCAACCGGGGAUAUACGGCUCAUGAUAUUUGCAGGCUAUUUUGGUAGAGAGUUUGCUUCGAUCAACAGUUCUCAGUUUUCUGUUGAUGAGAACACUAAGGAAGCUAUUUUUAAGAGUAUAGUUGAUGAAAGAACUGGCAGUUUUAAAAUUGUCAUGUUUAUGAUUUCUCUGUUUCAUAUAUUUAUGAGGAUGUUUAUAGAACAACCACAAAUUGGCUUAACCACAAACCUAUGGAUACCCUUGGGUCAUUUACAUUAGAUAACAUAAUCACUGACCUGGCUUUCCCUCCAAGGAGCCAUGCCAUAAAGGGUUCAAAGAAAAGAAAGUGGUUCAGCAGCCAGCCUACUUCAAAAUCUCAGUGUAGAUGAUGUGGCCGACCACAUUUUACAAGCUUAAUCUAGACAGAGUUACUAAUGGAUAUCAUACUUUGGAGAGCAAGUUGAAACAAAAGACAAGUUAAGUUGAGAUCAUACUUUGGAAAGCAAGUUG